rnacentral:rRNA from 1 species
AGUGAGUAUGAGAAGGGCAUUCGGUGGAUGCCUUGGCACUAGGAGGCGACGAAGGACGUAGCACGCUGCGAUAAGCUGUGGGGAGCCGCGAGCAGGCAUUGAUCCGCAGAUUUCCGAAUGGGGCAACCCACCCAGCGAUGGGUAUCGUGAUCUGAAUACAUAGGGUUACGAGGCGAACCCGGGGAACUGAAACAUCUCAGUACCUGGAGGAAAAGACAUCAAUUGAGAUUCUGCUAGUAGUGGCGAGCGAACGCGG